rnacentral:rRNA from 1 species
AGGGCACCACCAGGAGUGGAGCCUGCGGCUUAAUUUGACUCAACACGGGAAAACUCACCCGGCCCGGACACUGGAAGGAUUGACAGAUUGAGAGCUCUUUCUUGAUUCAGUGGGUGGUGGUGCAUGGCCGUUCUUAGUUGGUGGAGUGAUUUGUCUGGUUAAUUCCGAUAACGAACGAGACUCUAGCCUAUUAAAUAGAUCGUUGGCUUACAAACGCCGGCGAGACUUCUUAGAGGGACAGGCGGCGAUUCAGCCGCACGAAACAGAGCAAUAACAGGUCUGUGAUGCCCUUAGAUGUCCGGGGCCGCACGCGCGCUACACUGAAGUGAUCAGCGUGCAUUUUGAAACCUGCUCUGUCAAGAGUGGGGAACCCAAUGAACCUUCUUCGUGAUUGGGAUAGGGGAUUGUAAUUAUUCCCCUUGAACGAGGAAUUCCCAGUAAGCGCGAAUCAUAAGUUUGCGCUGAUUACGUCCCUGCCCUUUGUACACACCGCCCGUCACUACUACCGAUUGAAUGUUU